UACAGAGGUCCCAAGCGUUGUUCGGAUUCACUGGGCGUAAAGGGUGCGUAGGUGGUUAGAUAAGUCCGAUGUGAAAUCUCAGGGCUCAACUCUGACAUUGCAUUCGAUACGGGCAGACUGGAGUACUGCAGGGGAGACUGGAAUUCCUGGUGUAGCGGUGGAAUGCGCAGAGUAUCAGGAGGAACACCGGUGGCGAAGGCGGGUCUCUGGGCAGUAACUGACGCUGAGGAGCGAAAGCGUGGGGAGCGAACAGG
rnacentral:rRNA from 1 species